GGUUAAUACCCUGAGUAGAUGACGGUACCCGAAUAAGAAGCACCGGCUAACUACGUGCCAGCAGCCGCGGUAAUACGUAGGGUGCGAGCGUUAAUCGGAAUUACUGGGCGUAAAGCGUGCGCAGGCGGUUUUGUAAGUCAGAUGUGAAAGCCCCGGGCUCAACCUGGGAACUGCAUUUGAGACUGCAAGACUGGAGUUUGGCAGAGGGGGGUGGAAUUCCACGUGUAGCAGUGAAAUGCGUAGAGAUGUGGAGGAACACCGAUGGCGAAGGCAGCCCCCUGGGCCAAUACUGACGCUCAUGCACGAAAGCGUGGGGAGCAAACAGGAUUAGAUACCCUGGUAGUCCACGCCCUAAACGAUGUCAACUAGGUGUUGGGAGGGUUAAACCUUUUAGUGCCGUAGCUAACA
rnacentral:rRNA from 1 species